AUGCGGCUGGUCAUGGUUGUGGCCACGGUUAUGGAAAUGUGUGUGGAUAUGGAUGUGUAUGGAUAUGGAAAUGCUGAUGGUGAUGGGCUGAUGGUGGCCGUGACGUUGGAUGAGUCUGGGGGCGGCCUCCAGGCACCCGGAGGAGGGAUCAGCCUCGUCUGCAAGGCCUCUGGAUUCACCUUCAGUGAUUAUGCCAUGUACUGGGUGCGACAGGCACCAGGCAAGGGGCUGGAAUUCGUCGCAGGUAUUAGGGAUGAUGGUAGUGACACAUCCUACAGGGGAGCAGUGGAUGGCCGUGCCACCAUCUCGAGGGACAACGGGCAGAGCACAGUGAGGCUGCAGCUGAACAACCUCAGGGCUGAGGACACCGCCACCUACUGCUGUGCAAAAUGUGCUGGUAGUGGUAGUGGUUGUGGUUCUACUCACGCUGUUGUUUUUAGUGGCGUCACCCACAGCCCAGAUUGA